GACAGUGACAAAAAGGAAGCAGCCUUCUCUAGCCCACCCAAGUUUCCAUCAAAGGAGCAAGCCUAUAAGAAGAAAGCUGGCUAACCCUCCCACCCCUUGUUUAACUCCUCCAGCCCAUCCCACAUCAUUGUAGAGUGAAGAGACUGCGGUUAAUAUUCAGAAAGAGGCGCAGAGAACUGAAGGCUUUCCUGACUUGACACCGAAUAAUAACGAAGGCCUGUGUGCUUUGCAGCAGCCUCCACGUCACCCUCUUCCAGUGCUCCGUCAGAGGACUAACGAUAUGCCACAAGAUGAUUGGCAGCAAGACACACCCAGUGAUGAAGGGAUGUGCUCUCCUUAAAUCACAGCCUAUUCAUCAGGUACUCCUGAGUGCUGUGUUAAGAAAUCCUGCCUACAAAGUUCCACUGAGGCUGAUAUAAAGAUGACUGUGAGAAACUGGCUGCGGCUGUCUGAGCAGAGACAGGAAUGGGGGCGGCAAAGGCGGGACAAGCAAGCAUCUUAAGUGAAAUAAUUGAUUGGACUGAUUCUGGAGUAUGACUUAUUCUGGAGGGAAUUUCUAAUUUUUGUUGCAGUUUGCUAUGGGACGGUUUCAAGGACAGGGAUUAGACUAGUUCUAGACUAAAAUAAAUGUAAGAGCUGUCCAAACUGAAAACAACUUGCACUGACAUAUCAUAAAAUACAUCAGUGUCUUUUGUGAUGCUUCAAAAUGCACACAAGUAAUGUUUUUAUUAAGACAUGUUAUUAAAACUAGUUAUAUUUCAGAAUUAAACUAAGGCCUAGUCCCGGUUUAAGAUAAUCCCUGUCCGGGAAACCACCCCAAAGUGUAAUUUGUGGAGUGUUAAAAUAAAUGAAACUGCCUUUGCAAAAACAAAGUAAAAAAAUUUCCAGAUGCCCUU